GUGACAAAACCACGACAACUAAGGAAACCUUUGAACAUAUUCCAAAACGUGUACGAUCAUUGGUAUCAGGUGGCUGCGAGAAGAAGCUAAAUGCAGCCAGCAGUGAUGUCCUGCGCAAGUCGGUAAUGCAAGCCAUGCCAAUUUAUUACUUACAAGAAAAUUACCUCAUUGAUAUACAGCUGUUAUUGGGUGGGGGUGUCCAGGCAAGAGGAAAAUGCACUGGUUAAAUUGGCUAGACAUGACUCGCUUCAAAUUGCAUGGUGGUAUGGGCUUCCUUGAUCUUCCCACCUUCAAUCUGGCGAUGCUUGGGAAACAAGGAUGGCUUUUAAUGAUGAAGCCCCACUCAUUAUUUGCUAGGGUAUGAAAAGGAAAAUACUACCCACAUUGCGAUUUUAUGCAAGCUAAGAAAGGAAGACACUCAUCACGUACCUCGCGAGCGAUUAUUAGUGGGCGUAUAGUCCUAAAAAUGGCCUUCAUCAAAAGGGUGGGAACAGGCACAUAGAUUAAUAUUUGGGAAGAUCAAUGAACCCCUUCGAAUCCGUCACUACGCCCCAUGUGGAAACACUACAACAAGAACCCCCAUUUAACAACACAUGUCUAGCAACGGUGAUGGCUUAUGUGUUGUUUUGUUCAACCUCCCACUUCCCUCACUUAUCCCUUACUUGGCGCUAACCUCCUUGCUUUAGAAAAGGGAUAUCUGACCUCCUCGUUUCCAAAAAAAAUCCCCGUAACCUAUCUCCACCUCAUUCUACACAUCUAUCCGCCAUCUCUCUCUCCCACGAUUCCUCUCAGCCCAGGCCCAGCCGAACACCACGCCGCCGCCGCAGGUCGGUUCUGGCUAGCUCCGGCGCCCCCUGCCCCCCGCCCCGACUGCGCCACCACUCAACUGUCGGCUCCGCUGGUCUCCUCGGAUCCUCCCCCGCCGCAGCAUCCUCGGCGCCCCUGAACAUGCUCCUACAGCAACCCUAGUUGGCACGGGCGGCACGACUCCUACGCCUCCUCGGGUUCAUAGGCCCACUACCUCCGUGUAUCUUCAUAUGCUGCCGCCGGAUCGGCUUCGACUGUCAUCCUCUACCUCGGCUACCUCCUCCAACACUGACGAUUCAUGAAGAAUCUGAAUGUGUUAUGCACCCAAGCUGUUGGCAGUAUUGCAGGUGGAGUUGUAUAGGAAAGCUGAACAAUUAUAUCUCGAAGCAAUUGAAAUCCUGGAGAAAUCAUUUGAACCUACUGAUAUACUGUACUGGUUGGAACAACUUUGCGUAAUGUUGGACAAUACUAUCAUAUUCAGAACAGGUUUGAUCAAGCUGAGAUAUAUUACGAGAUUGCCAAGAUAAACUGAUGAUACAUGGCCCAAGUUUUGGUUGCAAGGUUAUGAAAGAGGCUACUACAAGAUAAAUAGAAUGUCAUUGUAUUGAUCAAUGUUUCAAACAUUAUAGUUGAUUGCAAGCUCGGGAAUUGGGCUACUACUAGAUAGUUUCACAUCAUGUAAUCUUUGGAUCGUGAUCUUUGUAAUGCAACAUAUCUGG